GACAGAGGGUGCAAACGUUGUUCGGAAUUACUGGGCGUAAAGCGCGUGUAGGCGGCCCGGAAAGUCGGAUGUGAAAGCCCUGGGCUUAACCUAGGAAGUGCAUUCGAAACUCCCGGGCUUGAGUUCUGGAGAGGAAGGCGGAAUUCUCGGUGUAGAGGUGAAAUUCGUAGAUAUCGAGAGGAACACCGGUGGCGAAGGCGGCCUUCUGGACAGUGACUGACGCUGGGACGCGAAAGCGUGGGGAGCAAACAGG
rnacentral:rRNA from 1 species